UGGGGAAUAUUGCACAAUGGGCGCAAGCCUGAUGCAGCCAUGCCGCGUGUAUGAAGAAGGCCUUCGGGUUGUAAAGUACUUUCAGUCGGGAGGAAGGUGGUAAGGUUAAUAACCUUAUCAAUUGACGUUACCGACAGAAGAAGCACCGGCUAACUCCGUGCCAGCAGCCGCGGUAAUACGGAGGGUGCAAGCGUUAAUCGGAAUUACUGGGCGUAAAGCGCACGCAGGCGGUUGAUUGAGUCAGAUGUGAAAUCCCCGGGCUUAACCCGGGAAUUGCAUCUGGAACUGGUCAGCUAGAGUCUUGUAGAGGGGGGUAGAAUUCCAAGUGUAGCGGUGAAAUGCGUAGAGAUGGGGAGGAAUACCGGUGGCGAAGGCGGCCCCCUGGACAAAGACUGACGCUCAGGUGCGAAAGCGUGGGGAGCAAACAGG
rnacentral:rRNA from 1 species